CAGCAGCCGCGGGAAUACUAAGGGGGCUAGCGUUGUUCGGAUUUACUGGGCGUAAAGCGCACGUAGGCGGACUUUUAAGUCAGGGGUGAAAUCCCGGGGCUCAACCCCGGAACUGCCUUUGAUACUGGAAGUCUUGAGUAUGGUAGAGGUGAGUGGAAUUCCGAGUGUAGAGGUGAAAUUCGUAGAUAUUCGGAGGAACACCAGUGGCGAAGGCGGCUCACUGGACCAUUACUGACGCUGAGGUGCGAAAGCGUGGGGAGCAAACAGGAUUAGAUACCCGGGUAGUCCUGUCUCUUAUACA
rnacentral:rRNA from 1 species